CGUCUCAAAUCAAGCAAGAUUACCCGCUGAACUUAAGCAUAUCAGUAAGCGGAGGAAAAGAAACUAACAAGGAUUCCCUCAGUAACGGCGAGUGAAGCGGGAAUAGCUCAAAUUUGAAAUCUCAAUGGCAACAUUGCGAAUUGUAGUCUAAAGAGAUGGGUAUGAUGGAUGGUAUGGGGAUUGGUCAAGUCCUUUGGAACAAGGCACCAUAGAGGGUGAUAGUCCCGUGGAUCAAUUCGGGUAUUAUUGUAUGCCCACUCCAAGAGUCGAGUUGUUUGGGAAUGCAGCUCAAAGCGGGUGGUAAAUCUCAUCCAAGGCUAAAUAUUGGCAAGAGACCGAUAGCGAACAAGUACCGUGAGGGAAAGAUGAAAAGCACCUUGAAAAGGGAGUUAAAAAGUACGUGAAAUUGUUAAAAGGGAAACGA
rnacentral:rRNA from 1 species